CCGAGUUGACAAACUCCCUAAACCCAUGUGAACAUACACUAACAUGUUGCUUCGGCGGGAUUGCCCCGGGCGCCUCGUGUGCCCCGGAUCAGGCGCCCGCCUAGGAAACUUAACUCUUGUUUUAUUUUGGAAUCUUCUGAGUAGUUUUUACAAAUAAAUAA
rnacentral:misc_RNA from 1 species